rnacentral:rRNA from 1 species
AUUGAACGCUGGCGGCAGGCUUAACACAUGCAAGUCGAGCGGAUGAAGGUAGCUUGCUACCGGAUUCAGCGGCGGACGGGUGAGUAAUGCUUAGGAAUCUGCCUAUUAGUGGGGGACAACGUUCCGAAAGGAGCGCUAAUACCGCAUACGUCCUACGGGAGAAAGCAGGGGACCUUCGGGCCUUGCGCUAAUAGAUGAGCCUAAGUCGGAUUAGCUAGUUGGUAGGGUAAGGCCUACCAAGGCGACGAUCUGUAGCGGGUCUGAGAGGAUGAUCCGCCACACUGGGACUGAGACACGGCCCAGACUCCUACGGGAGGCAGCAGUGGGGAAUAUUGGACAAUGGGGGGAACCCUGAUCCAGCCAUGCCGCGUGUGUGAAGAAGGCCUUUUGGUUGUAAAGCACUUUAAGCGAGGAGGAGGCUACCUAGAUUAAUACUUUAGGAUAGUGGACGUUACUCGCAGAAUAAGCACCGGCUAACUCUGUGCCAGCAGCCGCGGUAAUACAGAGGGUGCGAGCGUUAAUCGGAUUCACUGGGCGUAAAGCGUGCGUAGGCGGCCAAUUAAGUCAAAUGUGAAAUCCCCGAGCUUAACUUGGGAAUUGCAUUCGAUACUGGUUGGCUAGAGUAUGGGAGGGGAUGGGUAGAAUUCCAGGUGUAGCGGUGAAAUGCGUAGAGAUCUGGAGGAAUACCGAUGGCGAAAGCAGCCAUCUGGCCUAAUACUGACGCUGAGUACGAAAGCAUGGGGAGCAAACAGGAUUAGAUACCC